GGGCUUGUAGCUCAGGUGGUUAGAGCGCACGCCUGAUAAGCGUGAGGUCGGAAGUUCGAGUCUUCCCAGGCCCA
rnacentral:tRNA from 1 species